rnacentral:rRNA from 1 species
CUGGAUGAACGCUAGCUACAGGCUUAACACAUGCAAGUCGAGGGGCAGCAUUUUAGUUUGCUUGCAAACUGAAGAUGGCGACCGGCGCACGGGUGAGUAACACGUAUCCAACCUGCCGAUAACUCCGGAAUAGCCUUUCGAAAGAAAGAUUAAUACCGGAUGGCAUACGAAUAUCGCAUGAUAUUUUUAUUAAAGAAUUUCGGUUAUCGAUAGGGAUGCGUUCCAUUAGUUUGUUGGCGGGGUAACGGCCCACCAAGACUACGAUGGAUAGGGGUUCUGAGAGGAAGGUCCCCCACAUUGGAACUGAGACACGGUCCAAACUCCUACGGGAGGCAGCAGUGAGGAAUAUUGGUCAAUGGGCGAGAGCCUGAACCAGCCAAGUAGCGUGAAGGAUGAAGGCUCUAUGGGUCGUAAACUUCUUUUAUAUGGGAAUAAAGUUUUCCACGUGUGGAAUUUUGUAUGUACCAUAUGAAUAAGGAUCGGCUAACUCCGUGCCAGCAGCCGCGGUAAUACGGAGGAUCCGAGCGUUAUCCGGAUUUAUUGGGUUUAAAGGGAGCGUAGGUGGAUUGUUAAGUCAGUUGUGAAAGUUUGCGGCUCAACCGUAAAAUUGCAGUUGAAACUGGGAGUCUUGAGUACAGUAGAGGUGGGCGGAAUUCGUGGUGUAGCGGUGAAAUGCUUAGAUAUCACGAAGAACUCCGAUUGCGAAGGCAGCUCACUAGACUGUCACUGACACUGAUGCUCGAAAGUGUGGGUAUCAAACAGGAUUAGAUACCCUGGUAGUCCACACAGUAAACGAUGAAUACUCGCUGUUUGCGAUAUACAGUAAGCGGCCAAGCGAAAGCAUUAAGUAUUCCACCUGGGGAGUACGCCGGCAACGGUGAAACUCAAAGGAAUUGACGGGGGCCCGCACAAGCGGAGGAACAUGUGGUUUAAUUCGAUGAUACGCGAGGAACCUUACCCGGGCUUAAAUUGCAACAGAAUAUAUUGGAAACAGUAUAGCCGUAAGGCUGUUGUGAAGGUGCUGCAUGGUUGUCGUCAGCUCGUGCCGUGAGGUGUCGGCUUAAGUGCCAUAACGAGCGCAACCCUUAUCUUUAGUUACUAACAGGUUAUGCUGAGGACUCUAGAGAGACUGCCGUCGUAAGAUGUGAGGAAGGUGGGGAUGACGUCAAAUCAGCACGGCCCUUACGUCCGGGGCUACACACGUGUUACAAUGGGGGGUACAGAAGGCGGCUACCUGGUGACAGGAUGCUAAUCCCAAAAACCUCUCUCAGUUCGGAUCGAAGUCUGCAACCCGACUUCGUGAAGCUGGAUUCGCUAGUAAUCGCGCAUCAGCCAUGGCGCGGUGAAUACGUUCCCGGGCCUUGUACACACCGCCCGUCAAGCCAUGAAAGCCGAGGGUACCUGAAGUACGUAACCGCAAGGAGCGUCCUAGGGUAAAACU